AGAAGCUGAUCGUUCCCAUUUUGAAGGGAACCGCAUAAAUUCUGUCGUCAAAGGUGAAGCCCUUGAGCGCAGCCGGAUUGUAGCUCUUCUCCCAGGCUCCGCCAUCG
rnacentral:sRNA from 1 species